rnacentral:rRNA from 1 species
UACGGAGGGUGCAAGCGUUAUCCGGAUUUACUGGGCUUAAAGGGUGCGUAGGAGGGCAGGUAAGUCAGUGGUGAAAUCUCCAAGCUUAACUUGGAAACUGCCGUUGAUACUAUCUGUCUUGAAUAUUGUGGAGGUGAGCGGAAUAUGUCAUGUAGCGGUGAAAUGCUUAGAUAUGACAUAGAACACCAAUUGCGAAGGCAGCUCACUACACAAUCAUUGACUCUGAGGCACGAAAGCGUGGGGAUCAAACAGG